rnacentral:rRNA from 1 species
AAACUUUUAGCCAUCAAAUUAUUAUUGCACUUGCGAGUCAAACUGUGCAAAAAGAUGGAUCAAAGGCCACCAUGGCAUCGGCACAUUGACAAUGAUCUUGCUCCUCUCAUUUUCUUUCUUUCUGAAUCCCUCAAUCCAUCAGAGGAGCUCAAGUCCAAGUAGAGGCAGCUCAUGAAUUUCUGAACAAAGACAGUGAGCAAAGAAUCCCCCAAAGAGCAAAGAUGUGUUUGUUAGUUUGCAACUAGCACACAAAGAAUGUCAACCUUGAAACCUAAAGCACUUUCUACUUAGAGAACUACUGGCUCAAACAGAGAAUUUCUGCAGCAGCAACAUAUAUGAAAAGUGUUGUUUUUUAUUGUUUACCAGGGGAAUAUACAUAUCACUAUCCAAGAAUGACUUCAUGUUCUGGUACUCUUUUUUUGGUUAUAUCUUGGGAGAAUACACAUUGGACUGUGUGGGGAGUAUAUAUCUUUUCCGAAAAGUAAAGUAAAAUUCAAGGGCAGAAGAUUCACAAUAUAAUCGUUCUUGAGGUGUCCACUAGACCUGAAAUGAUCAGUAUCCCCUGGAUUUUCAAUUCAGUGUGCUGAUGGUGAUGAGUAUGGUCUCAAGCCUGCAGAAAAUUCCCCGUAUAUAUUUAUGUGCUGCUUUAUGCCGAUGGGGAUUUCCUUAUCUUGGAAAAGUGUAAUGUAGGCAAAUAGUUCUGGGGGAUUACAAGGUCAACUGCUCAAUUCAUAUGGAUACGGUUCAGCAUCUACAGUGAAAUCACAAGGGAGGAGGGGCAUCAAGGUAGGCGACAUAGUUGCUGCUGAGAGACCAUAUAACUCCAACUCUGUGCUAAAUCUGCAGUUCUGCAUGGACGUUCGGGGCAAGAAUGAGAACUGCCGCUAUAGCCAUGCCUCACUAUCCUGCAGCACAAUUGUGGAGAAUCACCUUAGUUUAAUUUUUCUCACCAUGCUUCACUUCCAUUCAGUGUAGUGGAUUCUAGCUAUUUGAGAGGUAACAUGUUUUCAAAUGCUACCCUCAUAUUUUUUCAUUCUGGUGUUUCUCAUAGCUGUUCGGGUAAGAGAUCAAUGGGAAAUGACCAUGUGUUUGGAUAGCAAGUUCUUUGGGCACUUUUCCAUACUGAUCAAAAUAGUAAUUCAAACCAAUUACUUUCUUGACAUUCCACAUGUGCACAUCCUGCUUACCCCACUUAAUCAACAUGUGGGCCAUGUUUUAGUUCAGCCUUUGCCCUAGACCAAAAAAAAUCUUUGUCGUUGC